GACGAACGCGGCGGCGUGCCUAAUACAUGCAAGUAGAACGCUGAAGGAGGAGCUGCUUCUCUGGAUGAGUUGCGAACGGGUGAGUAACGCGUAGGUAACCUGCCUGGUAGCGGGGGAUAACUAUUGGAAACGAUAGCUAAUACCGCAUAAGAGUAGAUGUUGCAUGACAUUUGCUUAAAAGGUGCAAUUGCAUCACUACCAGAUGGACCUGCGUUGUAUUAGCUAGUUGGUGGGGUAACGGCUCACCAAGGCGACGAUACAUAGCCGACCUGAGAGGGUGAUCGGCCACACUGGGACUGAGACACGGCCCAGACUCCUACGGGAGGCAGCAGUAGGGAAUCUUCGGCAAUGGGCGGAAGUCUGACCGAGCAACGCCGCGUGAGUGAAGAAGGUUUUCGGAUCGUAAAGCUCUGUUGUAAGAGAAGAACGAGUGUGAGAGUGGAAAGUUCACACUGUGACGGUAUCUUACCAGAAAGGGACGGCUAACUACGUGCCAGCAGCCGCGGUAAUACGUAGGUGGCAAGCGUUAUCCGGAUUUAUUGGGCGUAAAGAGAGUGCAGGCGGUUUUCUAAGUCUGAUGUGAAAGCCUUCGGCUUAACCGGAGAAGUGCAUCGGAAACUGGAUAACUUGAGUGCAGAAGAGGGUAGUGGAACUCCAUGUGUAGCGGUGGAAUGCGUAGAUAUAUGGAAGAACACCAGUGGCGAAGGCGGCUACCUGGUCUGCAACUGACGCUGAGACUCGAAAGCAUGGGUAGCGAACAGG
rnacentral:rRNA from 1 species